rnacentral:lncRNA from 1 species
AUGAGUGGAGCAUGAGCAGUAAGGGGCUCAAGCAAAGGCUGCCCAGACUCUCAGGAUCUGAGCUCAAGGGCAGGAGGACUAGGAGGACUUCUGUGUGAGAGCUUGAAGACUGACCUUAUCGGUCUCGUUACAUAGGAGUUUCUGGUGGAAAUCAAUGUUUCUUCUUAUUACAGAACACAGAUGCUGUUCAUCUUGCUUUGAAGUUAAAUAAUUCUGAGCUAAUGGGAAGAAAACUGAGAGUCAUGCGUUCUGUUAAUAAAGAAAAACUGAAACAACAGAAUUCAAAUCCAAGCGUGAAGAAAGAUGGCAGUAAAUCUAAGCAGAGACUUAAUUUUACUUCUAAAGAAGGAAAAUCCCAUUCUAAGAAUGCAUUUAUUGGAGAAAAGGCAGUUCUCAUGAAAAAGAAGAAAGGACAAAAGAAAAAAGGACAA